AGCAGCCGCGGUAAUUCCAGCUCCAAUAGCGUAUAUUAAAGUUGUUGCAGUUAAAAAGCUCGUAGUUGAAUUUCGGGGUUAGUAGGUUGGUCAUGCCUCUGGUAUGUACUGGUCUCACUGAUUCCUCCUUCCUUAUGAACCGUAAUGCCAUUAAUUUGGUGUUGCGGGGAAUUUGGACUGUUACUUUGAAAAAAUUAGAGUGUUUAAAGCAAGCUAACGCUUGAAUACAUUAGCAUGGAAUAAUGAAAUAGGACGUUCGAUCUUAUUUUGUUGGUUUCUAGGAUUGACGUAAUGAUUAAUAGGGAUAGUUGGGGGCAUUGGUAUUCAAUUGUCAGAGGUGAAAUUCUUGGAUUUAUUGAAGACUAACUACUGCGAAAGCAUUUGCCAAGGAUGUUUUCAUUAAUCAAGAACGAAAGUUAGGGGAUCGAAGACGAUCAGAUACCGUCGUAGUCUUAACCAUAAACUAUGCCGACUAGGGAUCGGAUGAUGUUAAUUUUUAAUGACUCAUUCGGCGCCUUAC
rnacentral:rRNA from 1 species